rnacentral:rRNA from 1 species
GAUGAACGCUGGCGGCGUGCUUAACACAUGCAAGUCGAACGGAAAGGCCCAGCCUUUGUGGGGUGCUCGAGUGGCGAACGGGUGAGUAACACGUGAGUAACCUGCCCUUGACUUUGGGAUAACUUCAGGAAACUGGGGCUAAUACCGGAUAGGAGCACCUGCUGCACGGUGGGGGGUGGAGAGUUUCGGCGGGUGGGGAUGGACUCGCGGCUUAUCAGCUUGUUGGUGGGGUAGUGCCUUACGAAGGCUUUGACGGGUAGCCGGCCUGAGAGGGUGACCGGCCACAUUGGGACUGAGAUACGGCCCGGACUCCUACGGGAGGCAGCAGUGGGGAAUAUUGCACAAUGGGCGGAGGCCGGUUGCGGCACCGCCGGGUGCGGGAUGACGGCCUUCGGGUUGUAAACCGCUUUCGCCUGUGACGAAGCGUAAGUGACGGUAAUGGGUAAAGAAGCACCGGCUAACUACGUG